UUCUCGGUUCCUCGCAAUGGUGUCUGGUUUACCCGGUCAGGUUCGGAAGAAAGCAGCCAAAGUCAGAAU
rnacentral:SRP_RNA from 1 species